GACGAACGCUGGCGGCGUGCCUAAUACAUGCAAGUAGAACGCUGAAGGAGGGGCUUGCUUCUCUGGAUGAGUUGCGAACGGGUGAGUAACGCGUAGGUAACCUGCCUGGUAGCGGGGGAUAACUAUUGGAAACGAUAGCUAAUACCGCAUAAUAGUAGAUGUUGCAUGACAUUUGCUUAAAAGGUGCAAUUGCAUCACUACCAGAUGGACCUGCGUUGUAUUAGCUAGUUGGUGGGGUAACGGCUCACCAAGGCGACGAUACAUAGCCGACCUGAGAGGGUGAUCGGCCACACUGGGACUGAGACACGGCCCAGACUCCUACGGGAGGCAGCAGUAGGGAAUCUUCGGCAAUGGACGGAAGUCUGACCGAGCAACGCCGCGUGAGUGAAGAAGGUUUUCGGAUCGUAAAGCUCUGUUGUAAGAGAAGAACGAGUGUGAGAGUGGAAAGUUCACACUGUGACGGUAUCUUACCAGAAAGGGACGGCUAACUACGUG
rnacentral:rRNA from 1 species